AAAUUACUUUUCAGAAUCAGCAAAUGAAAUUGUACUUACUGUGUCCAACACAAUACAGGCAUGUGCGGGGAAACGGUUACCUCUGGCUCAUGAACCAGUGUGUAGCCUCCUUUUUGUGGUGAUGCACCUGCUCUGCACGCCAAGGCCAGAGCCGACCAUCGGUGACCAGUGCUGUGCAGCCGAGCUGGGGGGAGCGACCCCGACCAGGCUCGCCUGGCCUCUGGGGAACACUAGUGGCCACUUCUGCAAGAUCAACCUUUCCAAAUUCCACCAGCAUCUAUUCUGGAUUUCCCAAAUAAUCUCACUUAAGUGAUGUGUCAGGCCCAUUCUGCAACACCUCUUCAGGGAGGCCAUCUGCAAAGAGGCUGCUGCUGCUGUCUUUCCUGCUGAGCCCUCAAGGUAGGUAUGGGGAACUUAGGCCUGCUUAUUAAAAUACACACAGACCCAUCCUCUGUCACUCUAAAUAUCUAUAGGACAAGUGGGGCAUCUUACAGUGUUUUGACUGUGUUUGUUAGAUUGUGAAACAGUGACUUCUGAAAUACAGCUUGGGAGAGGGAAAUCGAGAAACCUUGUUCCUCCAUCCUAAGCAACUCACGGCAUCCCAGAGUCCAACAUUUGCCCUUGGCAAUGCUGAGAUUUGGGGUAAAGAAUAGGGGUCAACAGGAGUCCUCCAUAUUGCAUGAACUGGAGACAGUUGGGUCUUUCUGGUCUAACAAUCAAAACUCUGUCCCCCUAAGCAUACUUUCCUGAGAUAAGAAUCUAAGGAAAAGAUGGGAAACAUGUUGCUUGAUUUCAGGCUCUCUAGCUGACAUGACAUUUGGACAGUUAGUUUGCGGAACCAGCUAGAAAUGGGUGGGUCUGGAAAUGGAUGACCCAGUAAAGGCAGGGCUGCACUGACGUGUGGACAGGGCUUCACAGGGUGAGCACCAGUGGUAGGGGUGAAAAGAAGAGUUCCAAAAGUCCUUGUGUUAGAUUUCCAGCACUGUGACAAAACACCUAAGAUACACACCCUUUAAGGAGAAAAGUUUAUUUUGGCUGACACUUUCCUAAGUUCCAGGCUGGAUGCUUUGCGCUGGGGUGAGACUAUUCAGUGGGCAUUUGUGGCGGAGCAAAGCUGCUUGUUUGUGGAAGCCAAUCUUAAUCUAUUUGCAAACUUGAUUUCUCUGUUCACAGGUUCCAGGGAUAAGGAUAUGGACACCUGUGGAAGACAAUUAUUCUGUGUAUCACAAACAACUGUGUGGUCUUUAUAUUUCCAUUACACUACUUUUAUUUUAAAUUUAUUUAAAAUUUUAUUUGUUCAACAACUAUUUGAGCACUCAUUAUGGAAAUAUAAAUAAGACAUUGGUGCCAGGUGUGGUGGUACACACCCGUAACCCCAGCACUUGGGAGGCUGAGGCAGGAGGAUCGCUGUGAGUUCGAGACCAGCCUGGGCUACAUAGUGAGUUCCAGGUCAGUCUCAACUACAUAGUGAGACCCUGUCUCAAAAAACGAAACAAAACAAAAAACAACCCCCCCAAAAAAAAACCCCAAAAUAAAUUAUUGGUCACCACACUUAAGUGGGUAAUUUAAUAAUAACUUUUGUAUAAAAUGAUAUAGUUUGUGGCACUCAAUUUAUUGC
ensembl:lincRNA